UCAAACUUGGUCAUUUAGAGGAAGUAAAAGUCGUAACAAGGUCUCCGUUGGUGAACCAGCGGAGGGAUCAUUACAGAGUUAUUCCAAACUCCCAAACCCAUGUGAACUUACCUUUGUUGCCUCGGCGGGGGAGGUCUCGGGGAAGCUACCCUGUAGCGGAUCCGCCCCUCACCCCAAACCCCGCCGGUGGAUCAAACCAAAACUCUUGUUUUUAACAGUGACACUUCUGAGUUACAUACAAAAAUAAGUCAAAACUUUCAACAACGGAUCUCUUGGUUCUGGCAUCGAUGAAGAACGCAGC
rnacentral:misc_RNA from 1 species